CAGGCCUCGGCGGGUUCCCGAGGCUCCCCAGGCGCGCGCGCCGCCCGUCGAGCCGGGCCGUGUCCAGGCCGCUCUUCCGUUAACCCUUAACCCUGUCCCAGAGCGGCCUGGACACGGCCCGGCUCGUCGGGGCGGCGCCCGCGCCUGGGAGCCUCGGGAACAGUUCAGUUGUCUACAUUAACACUGCUGAUGUCAGCACUAAGGCAUCCUUGCUCUUUGUACCCAAGGGCUGUGAUGUCAGCCCACUGGGACCUCCCCUGAGCCUGGCGUCUUGGGCUUUGCUGGAGCUUAGGCACACAGGCGGCAUCCACGACUGAUCCCAGCUAUUCGGACUCCAGAGCCCCUCCCCAAAUACACCUCUACAGAGAUGUCAGAACGGCUGCGAUACAAAAAGCUGACAAUACGAAUUGCUGGCAAGGAUGCAGAGUAACACACUCCCGUUCGCUGUUGGGGAGGUAAACGGUGCACCCGUUUGACGGGCAGCCUGGCACUUCUUACAAAGGAAAAUGGAGAAAUUGUGGGACAUCCACACAAUGGAACAAUAUUCAGUGACAGAAAAGAAGAAGCCAUGAAGCCCCACAAAAAUGUGGAUGAGUUUAAACACAUAUUGCUAGCCGAAAGAAGUCAGUCUGAAACUCCCACAGUUCAUUUUUAUGAUAUUCUGGAAAGGUCAUCAGAAACAGGCAAACUGAGAAACUGUCACAGCCCAGAGCGGUCUAGAGGGAGUGAAGCUGAAUGUACUAUGGUGGCCUGGAUGGAAGUCUGGAACAGAAAAAUGGCAUUAGGGAAAAACUGGGGAAACCUGAAUAAAAUACACACUUCAUUUUAUAAUAAUGUAUGAAUAUUGGUUGAUUAAUUACUUUUGACAAAUAUAUCAUUCUAAUAUAAGAUUUUAACAGCAGGGCAAACUGCUUAUGAGGUAUAUGUGAAAUCUCUGCAUUAUCUUUGCAACUUUUCUGUAAAUUUAAAACUAUUCUAGAAAAAAUUUAUUUUUAAAUCAUUGCAAUCACAAAUGUAUUACACUCAGGGAAAAUAAUGG
rnacentral:lncRNA from 1 species